rnacentral:lncRNA from 1 species
CUCAAUCACCAGAACCUUCCAACCAACACCAGUUCUAAACAUAGCCAGAACCUUCAUUCCUCCCUCUCAACCUAUACACACUCACAAACAAACUCUUCUUCCUCAUCCUCUGAAUAUGAAUCACCUCCUUACCUCCCCUUCUUCUGACAGAGUUAUCUGAUCAUGAGUCCUCUGAUCAAGAACACUCUGACCCUAAGUCCCCAACAAUAGCUGAAAUUUAUGCAAAAAUUCGCUCCACAACCCACAAGACAAUCUGAAGU